rnacentral:rRNA from 1 species
ACGGGGGAGCAGUGGGGAAUAUUGCGCAAUGGGGGGAACCCUGACGCAGCAAUACCGCGUGAGUGAAGAAGAUUUUCGGAUCGUAAAACUCUUUUAUUAGGGAAGAAGAAUGACGGUACCUAAUGAAGAAGUCCCGGCUAACUACGUGCCAGCAGCCGCGGUAAUACGUAGGGGACAAGCGUUGUCCGGAAUGACUGGGCGUAAAGGGCACGUAGGCGGUUUGAUAAGUCUGAUGUGAAAGGUACCGGCUCAACCGGUGACAUGCAUUGGAAACUGUCAGACUUGAGUACUGGAGAGGCAAGCGGAAUUCCUAGUGUAGCGGUGAAAUGCGUAGAUAUUAGGAGGAACACCGGUGGCGAAGGCGGCUUGCUGGACAGAUACUGACGCUGAGGUGCGAAAGCGUGGGGAGCAAACAGGAUUAGAUACCCGGUA